rnacentral:lncRNA from 1 species
GUGAGUUUGACAUAAAUAAAUUAUAUAAAUCGAUUGUCUUUAUUCACUGUUGUUCUUAAGGCUUGCAUCAAGUUAACCACUUAGUGCCUGAUUCUAGGUUUAAUCUAUUCAUCAAAAGUGUUAUAGGUUGCUAGACAUAACUUGAAUCCUGAUUCUAGGUUUAAUCUAUUCAUGAAAGGUGUUAUAGGUUGCUAGACAUAACUUGAAUGAGCAUCAUAUCCCUAACCAGCGAAUGUAGAUGUUAGGGUGUUUUGUGAACAUAUCGG